rnacentral:rRNA from 1 species
AGCGAACGCUGGCGGCAGGCCUAACACAUGCAAGUCGAACGAACUCUUCGGAGUUAGUGGCGGACGGGUGAGUAACACGUGGGAACGUGCCUUUUGGUUCGGAAUAACUCAGGGAAACUUGUGCUAAUACCGAAUGUGCCCUUCGGGGGAAAGAUUUAUCGCCAUUAGAGCGGCCCGCGUCUGAUUAGCUAGUUGGUGAGGUAACGGCUCACCAAGGCGACGAUCAGUAGCUGGUCUGAGAGGAUGACCAGCCACACUGGGACUGAGACACGGCCCAGACUGCUACGGGAGGCAGCAGUGGGGAAUCUUGCGGAAUGGGCGAAAGCCUGACGCAGCCAUGCCGCGUGAAUGAUGAAGGUCUUAGGAUUGUAAAAUUCUUUGAACGGGGACGAUAAUGACGGUACCCGGAGAAGAAGCCCCGGCUAACUUCGUG